rnacentral:tRNA from 1 species
GCCUGGGUGGCUCAGUCGGUUAAGUGUCUGACUUCAGCUCAGGUCAUGAUCUCUCAGGUUCGUGAGUUCAAGCCCCACAUCAGGCU